rnacentral:rRNA from 1 species
GUCUACGGCCAUACCACCCUAAACACGCCUGAUCUUGUCUGAUCUCAGAAGCUAAGCAGGGUCGGGCCUGGUUAGUACUUGAUUAAGAGGUAUAUAAACUCAUUGGAAAUU